AUUGAACGCUGGCGGCAGGCCUAACACAUGCAAGUCGAGCGGAGCGGCGGACGGGUGAGUAAUGCCUGGGAAUCUGCCUGGUAGUGGGGGAUAACGUCCGGAAACGGGCGCUAAUACCGCAUACUAUCAGAUGAGCCUAGGUCGGAUUAGCUAGUUGGUGGGGUAAAGGACUACCAAGGCGACGAUCCGUAACUGGUCUGAGAGGAUGAUCAGUCACCCUGGAACUGAGACACGGUCCAGACGCCUACGGGAGGCAGCAGUGUGGAAUAUUGGACAAUGGGCGAAAGCCUGAUGCCGCGGCGCCGCGUGGGGGAUGAAGGCUUUCGUGUUGUAAACCUCUUUCGCUAUGGAACGGUUAGGUGGAGAAGAAGCGCCGGCUAACUACGUGCCAGCAGCCGCGGUAAUUC
rnacentral:rRNA from 1 species